rnacentral:rRNA from 1 species
UACGUAGGGGGCUAGCGUUGUCCGGAAUCAUUGGGCGUAAAGAGCGUGUAGGCGGUCCGGUAAGUCCGCUGUGAAAGUCGGGGGCUCAACCCUCGAAUGCCGGUGGAUACUGUCGGGCUAGAGUGCGGAAGAGGCGAGUGGAAUUCCUGGUGUAGCGGUGAAAUGCGCAGAUAUCAGGAGGAACACCAAUUGCGAAGGCAGCUCGCUGGGACGUUACUGACGCUGAGACGCGAAAGCGUGGGGAGCAAACGGG